UCAAGGCCCUGGAGCUGGGGGGGGAGCAGUUGAUUCCCCCCCCCCAGAUGUUGCCCUGUUUUUUUUUUUUUGUUUUUUCUUGGGGGGGGGGAUUUGUAAAAUAAAUCUCAAAAAAGCCGCUGCGCCUGGUCCCUGGUGCUGGGUCCCCCCCCACCCCGCAAUGAAGGUGGGCCUCGUGGGGGGUCCGUGUCCACUGAGGAGGAGGAGUGGGGUGAAAUGAGAAGAUUUGGGGUGAAAAGAGAAGAUUUUGGGGCCCUGGGGAGAUCUGGGGGUGAAAUGAGAAGAUUUGGAGUCCUGGGAAGGGAUUUGGGGUGAAAUGAGAAGAUUUCUGGGGCUCGGGGGGGGGAUUUGGGGGUGAACUGAGAAGAUUUUGGGGUUCUGAGAGGGGGAGAUUUGGGGAUGAAAUGAGGAAAUUUGGGGUCCUGGGUGGAGAUUUGGGGGUGAAAUUAGAAGAUUUGGGGGCCCCAUGGGGAGUUUGGGGGGGGUGAAAUGAGAUUUUGGAGCCCUUGAGAGAAUUUGAGGGUGAAACAAGGAGAUUUGGGGCUUGGGCUGGGGUGAGAGGAGGAGAACUAGGGCUCUGGGGGAGGUUUUGGGGUGAAAGGAGGAGAAUUGGGGCCCGGGGGGUGCUUGGGGGGCAGCGGCUGGGUGCAGUGCCCCCAGCGAUGGGACACGGAUGAGACCAGGAUGCUCAGGGCACCACCUCGGAAUUCCUCCAAAAAAAUAAAUUAAAAAAAAAACAGGAUUUGGGGUUUCACCACCCCGUUUCCUCCCGUUUCGGGUCGCCACCCCACCCAGCACCGGUGGCCCCGCUCCUUUCCCACUGCUGCCACCGCUUCCUCUUCACUGCCGGUAUAAAACCGCGCCGCCCCACGGCCCCGUCCUUUGCCGUCAGCACCGGGAGAGCGGCCGCAGCCCGCGGGGACCAGGUUGC
rnacentral:lncRNA from 1 species